GUGUCAGCAGCCGCGGUAAUACAGAGGGGGCAAGCGUUAUUCGGAAUUAUUGGGCGUAAAGGGCGCGUAGGCGGCCAGUCAAGUGGAAGGUGAAAUCCCUCGGCUUAACCGAGGAACUGCCUUCCAGACUGUUUGGCUUGAGACCAGGAGAGGUGAGUGGAAUUCCCAGUGUAGCGGUGAAAUGCGUAGAUAUUGGGAGGAACACCAGUGGCGAAGGCGGCUCACUGGACUGGUACUGACGCUGAGGCGCGAAAGCGUGGGGAGCAAACGGGAUUAGAAACCCCAGUAGUCC
rnacentral:rRNA from 1 species